rnacentral:rRNA from 1 species
UAAAGUGGCGCACGGGUGAGUAACACGUGGAUAACCUUCCCUUGAGCGGGGGAUAACAUUCCGAAAGGAGUGCUAAUACCGCAUAAGACCACGGCCUCGAAAGAGGCUGAGGUCAAAGCAGGCCUCUUCAUGAAAGCUUGCACUCGAGGAUGGGUCCGCGUCCCAUCAGCUAGUUGGCAGGGUAAUGGCCUACCAAGGCGAAGACGGGUAGCUGGUCUGAGAGGAUGAUCAGCCACACUGGAACUGAGACACGGUCCAGACUCCUACGGGAGGCAGCAGUGGGGAAUCUUGCGCAAUGGACGAAAGUCUGACGCAGCGACGCCGCGUGGGUGAUGAAGGCCUUCGGGUUGUAAAGCCCUGUGGGGAGAGAAGAAUUAGUGGAAGCUAAUACCUUCCAUGAUGACGGUAUCUCCUUAGCAAGCACCGGCUAACUCUGUGCCAGCAGCCGCGGUAA